GCAGUUGUGGUUCAGUGGUAGAAUUCUCGCCUUCCAAGCGGGAGACCCAGGUUCAAUUUCUGGGCG
rnacentral:tRNA from 1 species